AGAGUUUGAUCCUGGCUCAGAACGAACGCUGGCGGCGUGGAUAAGACAUGCAAGUCGAACGAGAGAAUUGCUAGCUUGCUAAUAAUUCUCUAGUGGCGCACGGGUGAGUAACACGUGAGUAACCUGCCCCCGAGAGCGGGAUAGCCCUGGGAAACUGGGAUUAAUACCGCAUAGUAUCGAAAGAUUAAAGCAACAAUGCGCUUGGGGAUGGGCUCGCGGCCUAUUAGUUAGUUGGUGAGGUAACGGCUCACCAAGGCGAUGACGGGUAGCCGGUCUGAGAGGAUGUCCGGCCACACUGGAACUGAGACACGGUCCAGACACCUACGGGUGGCAGCAGUCGAGAAUCAUUCACAAUGGGGGAAACCCUGAUGGUGUGACGCCGCGUGGGGGAAUGAAGGUCUUCGGAUUGUAAACCCCUGUCAUGUGGGAGCAAAUUAAAAAGAUAGUACCACAAGAGGAAGAGACGGCUAACUCUGUGCCAGCAGCCGCGGUAAUACAGAGGUCUCAAGCGUUGUUCGGAAUCACUGGGCGUAAAGCGUGCGUAGGCUGUUUCGUAAGUCGUGUGUGAAAGGCGCUGGCUCAACCCGCGGACGGCACAUGAUACUGCGAGACUAGAGUAAUGGAGGGGGAACCGGAAUUCUCGGUGUAGCAGUGAAAUGCGUAGAUAUCGAGAGGAACACUCGUGGCGAAGGCGGGUUCCUGGACAUUAACUGACGCUGAGGCACGAAGGCCAGGGGAGCGAAAGGGAUUAGAUACCCCUGUAGUCCUGGCAGUAAACGGUGCACGCUUGGUGGGGCGGGGAAUCGACCCCCUGCGUGCCGGAGCUAACGCGUUAAGCGGUGCCGCCUGGGGAGUACGGUCGCAAGAUUAAAACUCAAAGAAAUUGACGGGGACCCGCACAAGCGGUGGAGUAUGUGGCUUAAUUCGAUGCAACGCGAAGAACCUUACCUGGGCUUGACAUGUAAUGAACAACAUGUGAAAGCAUGCGACUCUUCGGAGGCGUUACACAGGUGCUGCAUGGCCGUCGUCAGCUCGUGUCGUGAGAUGUUUGGUUAAGUCCAGCAACGAGCGCAACCCCUGUUGCCAGUUACCAGCACGUGAAGGUGGGGACUCUGGCGAGAUUGCCCAGAUCAACUGGGAGGAAGGUGGGGACGACGUCAGGUCAGUAUGGCCCUUAUGCCCAGGGCUGCACACGUACUACAAUGCCCAGUACAGAGGGGGCCGAAGCCGCGAGGCGGAGGAAAUCCUGAAAACUGGGCCCAGUUCGGACUGUAGGCUGCAACCCGCCUACACGAAGCCGGAAUCGCUAGUAAUGGCGCAUCAGCUACGGCGCCGUGAAUACGUUCCCGGGUCUUGCACUCACCGCCCGUCA
rnacentral:rRNA from 1 species